UACAGAGGUGGCAAGCGUUGUUCGGAAUUACUGGGCGUAAAGGGCGCGUAGGCGGCCAUCUAAGUCAGACGUGAAAUCCCCCGGCUUAACCUGGGAACUGCGUCUGAUACUGGACGGCUGGAGUUUGGGAGAGGGAUGUAGAAUUCCAGGUGUAGCGGUGAAAUGCGUAGAUAUCUGGAGGAAUACCGGUGGCGAAGGCGGCAUCCUGGACCAAUACUGACGCUGAGGCGCGAAAGCUAGGGGAGCAAACGGG
rnacentral:rRNA from 1 species